GGACCAAGGAGUCUAGCAUGUGCGCGAGUCAUUGGGACAUUACUAAACCUAAAGGCGCAAUGAAAGUAAAGGUCCGCCUCGCGCGGACCGAGGGAGGAUGAGCGGUUUGCCCUUAAAGUGGCCGCUCCGCACUCCCGGGGCGUCUCGUUCUCAUCGCGAGAAGAGGCGCACCAAGAGCGUACACUCUGGGACCCGAAAGAUGGUGAACUAUGCCUGGUCAGGACGAAGUCAGGGGAAACCCUGAUGGAGGUCCGUAGCGAUUCUGACGUGCAAAUCGAUCGUCGGAACUGGGUAUAGGGGCAAAAGACUAAUCGAACCAUCUAGUAGCUGGUUCCCUCCGAAGUUUCCCUCAGGAUAGCUGGCGCUCGUUGCGCACGAGUCUCAUCCGGUAAAGCGAAUGAUUAGAGGCAUUGGGGUCGAUACGACCUCAACCUAUUMUCACACUUUAAAUGGGUGAGAUCUCCGGCUUGCUCGAACUUAUGAAGCCGAGAGACACGGAUCAGAGUGCCAAGUGGGCCAUUUUUGGUAAGCAGAACUGGCGCUGUGGGAUGAACCAAACGCCGAGUUAAAGCGCCUAAAUCGACGCUUAUGGGAUACCAUGAAAGGCGUUGGUAACUUAAGACAGCAGGACGGUGGCCAUGGAAGUCGGAAU
rnacentral:rRNA from 1 species